UACGGAGGGUGCAAGCGUUAUCCGGAUUUACUGGGUUUAAAGCGCGCGUAGGCGGACCUGCAAGUCGGGGGUGAAAGCCCGAGGCUCAACCUCGGAACUGCCUUCGAUACUGCGGGUCUCGAGUCCGGGAGAGGUGAGUGGAAUUCCUAGUGUAGAGGUGAAAUUCGUAGAUAUUAGGAAGAACACCAGUGGCGAAGGCGGCUCACUGGCCCGGUACUGACGCUGAGGCGCGAAAGCGUGGGGAGCAAACAGG
rnacentral:rRNA from 1 species